rnacentral:rRNA from 1 species
GACGAACGCUGGCGGCGUGCUUAACACAUGCAAGUCGAACGGAAAGGUCCUGCUUUUGUGGGGUUCUCGAGUGGCGAACGGGUGAGUAACACGUGAGUAACCUGCCCUUGACUUUGGGAUAACUUCAGGAAAAUGGGGCUAAUACCGGAUAGGAGCUCCUGCUGCAUGGUGGGGGUUGGAAAGAUUCGGCGGUUGGGGAUGGACUCGCGGGUUAUCAGCUCGUUUGUGGGGUAGUGGCUUUCAAAGGCUCUGACGGGUAGCCGGCCUGAGAGGGUGAACGGCCACAUUGGGACUGAGAUACGGCCCAGACUCCAACGGGAGGCAGCAGUGGAGAGUAUUGCACAAUGGGCGGAAGCCUGAUGCAGCAACGCCGCGUGCGGGAUGACGGCCUUCGGGUUGUAAACCGCUUUCGCCUGUGACGAAGCGUGAGUGACGGUAAUGGGUAAAGAAGCACCGGCUAACUACGUG